GGAUCCAGACUUUGUUUAUGGCUCAGGACGAACGCUGGCGGCGUGCUUAACACAUGCAAGUCGAACGAGAAUCUACUGAAAGAGUUUUCGGACAAUGGAUGUAGAGGAAAGUGGCGGACGGGUGAGUAACGCGUGAGGAACCUGCCUUGAAGAGGGGGACAACAGUUGGAAACGACUGCUAAUACCGCAUGAUGCAUAAGGGUCGCAUGAUUCUUAUGCCAAAGAUUUAUCGCUUCAAGAUGGCCUCGCGUCUGAUUAGCUAGUUGGCGGGGUAACGGCCCACCAAGGCGACGAUCAGUAGCCGGACUGAGAGGUUGAACGGCCACAUUGGGACUGAGAUACGGCCCAGACUCCUACGGGAGGCAGCAGUGGGGAAUAUUGGGCAAUGGGCGCAAGCCUGACCCAGCAACGCCGCGUGAAGGAAGAAGGCUUUCGGGUUGUAAACUUCUUUUAAGAGGGAAGAGCAGAAGACGGUACCUCUAGAAUAAGCCACGGCUAACUACGUGCCAGCAGCCGCGGUAAUACGUAGGUGGCAAGCGUUGUCCGGAUUUACUGGGUGUAAAGGGCGUGCAGCCGGGUCUGCAAGUCAGAUGUGAAAUCCAUGGGCUCAACCCAUGAACUGCAUUUGAAACUGUAGAUCUUGAGUGUCGGAGGGGCAAUCGGAAUUCCUAGUGUAGCGGUGAAAUGCGUAGAUAUUAGGAGGAACACCAGUGGCGAAGGCGGAUUGCUGGACGAUAACUGACGGUGAGGCGCGAAAGUGUGGGGAGCAAACAGGAUUAGAUACCCUGGUAGUCCACACUGUAAACGAUGAAUACUAGGUGUGCGGGGACUGACCCCCUGCGUGCCGCAGUAAACACAAUAAGUAUUCCACCUGGGGAGUACGAUCGCAAGGUUGCAACUCAAAGGAAUUGACGGAAGGGCGAAUUCGCGUC
rnacentral:rRNA from 2 species